UUUUUUGGUCCCAGAUAUACUAUUGUUUUUGGCUAGAAAUAUACAUGCCAGCCUCCGCGCACCAGUGAAAACACCCAUUUUUAGUCGCCCCUCCCUACAUUUGGAGUUGGUAUCAGGCACGAGAAACUCAGCCCAAAACACCUAGUCAUGCCACACCCCCACUGGGCCUCAGCAGUAAAAAACACUAAGCACUAAGCCAUAAAGCUUGACUUGGUAAUAGCCAUCAAACCCCGAGCCGGUAAACCCCGUGCCAGCCACCGCGGUUACACGAGGGGCUAGAAACAAUACGCCUCGGCGCAAAGCGUGGCUAGAGAAAGACUUACCCAAGGACUUAAAAACUAAGAUAGAGGCUGUAAAAUGCUACGCGCCCCCGGGAAUCCGUACCGAGCCCUGCCUGUAACCACCUUGACCCACGAAAGCUAAGACCCAAACUAGGAUUAGAUACCCUACUAUGCUCAGCCGUAAACCAGCGGGAAAACCGCUCGCCAGAGAACUACAAGCAACCAGCUUAAAACUCAAAAGACUUGACAGUAUUUCACAUCGACCUAGAGGAGCCUGUCCUAUAAUCGAUAACCCACGCUAAACCUCACCCACCUUUGCAAGAACAGUCUAUAUACCUCCGUCGCCAGCUCGCCUGAAAACAGACUCAAAGCGGGUAUAAUAACUCAUCAUUCAGACGACAGGUCAAGGUGUAACUAAUGGGUGGGCAGAGAUGGGCUACAUUUUCUAAUAUCGAAUAUACCUACCCCAAUAUGAAAUUUGAGGAAAAAGGUGGAUUUAGCAGUAAGCAGGGCAAGAAGAGCCCAACUGAAGCGCGCCCUGAAAUGUGU
rnacentral:ncRNA from 1 species